rnacentral:rRNA from 1 species
GACGGGGGAUGCAAGUGUUAUCCGGAAUCACUGGGCGUAAAGCGUCUGCAGGUGGUUUCCUAAGUCCACUGUUAAACCUUGAGGCUCAACCUCAAAUCUGCAUUGGAAACUAGGAGACUUGAGUAUAGUAGGGGGUAGAGGGAAUUUCCAGUGGAGCGGUGAAAUGCGUAGAUAUUGGAAAGAACACCGAUGGCGAAGGCACUCUACUGGCUAUUACUGACACUCAGAGACGAAAGCUAGGGGAGCAAAUGGG